rnacentral:sRNA from 1 species
GCCAUUUUCUGACAUUUGAAAAGAUCUGAAGAUACGCCCCUUGGAUGCCUGCAGAGAAGCUCUGGGGUUUCAGUCAAUGACUCAGGGUAGCCACUGAACAUGACGCUCGCAGUGGGUGCCACCUGGACUCCACUCUCCUCUCUCUCUGGGAUCAUAGAGUCCAAGGUGUUCUGUGGCCUCUCGGCCAGUCCCAGCAGCUCAGCGUGCAGAAGACCGAGGAGCCAUUGGUCAGUGCAGGAGGUGCCUGGCGUUUUGGAGAUGGGAUGCAGAGGAAUUCAACACAACAUGAAAUAAUCGACAAAUUCGGGGAAUGUUAAUCUGACCAUUCCCAGUUACAAAUGAUGUUUCAUGCUACCUUCUAUUCCUGCCUUCAUAAAUCAAGGUAAUUACUUGGCAAUCUGGCUAUGCCUUGUAAGGCAAAAGAGCUGUUCAUUUCUUGUGUCAAAUGGUGAACAGGGAGGGAGAGGAAAAUGGUAAAUAACCCUGCCACCCACCUGUGCCCAAUCAGCUCUAAAUCUCCAGGAAAAAAUGCGCUAAGAUCGCCAGUGAAAUGUCCUUCCAACUGUGGAUGGAAAGGUAUGAUUUUGUGCAGCAGAUAAGGGACUGGCUAGAGUAAGUGUGUGCUGAGCUUUUGUGUUUGAAAGCGAGCCUGUGCACUUCUAA